AGUUACCAGGGAAAGCAAGUAUGUUCAAAGGCAGGAAUGAACUUGACCUAUUAGAGCACCUGAAUAAGCUGGCAUGGGGAGAGUGAUAUGAUACUGAGUCUGAAAGGAAGUCGGAGGUCAUAUAAUGUGUGCUUUGGAAACCAGAGUAAAGAGUUUGAUGGGAAACCACUAAAGAGUUCCUUCCCAAUACAGGACCAAAAGAGAAAUUGAUUGUCAGUGAAACUACAGCAUUUUGCAAAGUGACCAUCUUUUGGAAAGGAUGACAACUACUGCCUCUCACUGACUCUCAGUGACGUGUAUUGCUCUUUAUAUAUUAUUAUCUCAUUUGAUCAUCGGAGCAAUCCCAUAGCAAGAAUAAAAUAAUGACACAUGCUAUUAUGAAAGCUGCCUUUCUCAGUGUUUAACGAUGUUUCAUAUGCAUCUUUCCAUAUAGCUUCCUGAGCUCUCGCAUCUCCAUGGUCCUACCUCUCCAUGCUGUCCCCCACCGUCAUCCACAGAAAGGACUAUUGUCUCUUCAUUCAAAAUCCAGGUACCAUUUUAAGCACUACAAUGUCAUCUGAUCUUCAUAAAAACAACUUUGAGAUGUUCUUUUGCGAAAUGUCAGUUCAAGUCAUUUGACCCAUUUUUUCCAUGCUCACCGCAUUUGGAAAAGCACAGCUCUGGAGAUGAGGACGCUGAAGAUCAGAGGCUCUGAAGAACUUGCCUAACAUUAUACAUCUAGUAGGAGGAAAUCUUUCUUCUGGUCUACAACUAGGAUUUGAUGCCUGGAGUUCCAGCAGCAGCAUUCUGGGAAUAGGAAGCGACACUAGGAAUGGAAGGAGUUGCUGCUUACCGGACAGUCACCAUUCUACACUGAAAUGUAGGACCCUCUUUUACAUGACAGAGAAAGCUUUGGAAACUGAAGCCCAGAGCCAUCAAGGAGAUGGUCCAAAACUUCUGGACACAAAAUUGUGAACUUGGGAUUCAAACAUAGAUAUCCAGACUCCAGAGCUGUACUACUGAAUAUUAAAUCCCAUCCUGCCUUGAGUUUGCUGGAAUUAGGAAAAGAAACCACAACUCUGGCCUAGAGUAACUCAACACUGACAGUUAAUCUCCUAGAACAUACAGAUUAACCUGGAAGGGAACGCAGAAGAGUGAAAAUGGUCAUAGAAGAGUAGACUGUUAAAUUUUAUAGCUUUUAAGGUAAACACAAUGCAGGAGUUCACACUAAGGAGUUACAAUGUCAUUACAUCAUUUUUUUUUUAUUGGUCAAAUGGGCUAUAUGUGCAUAGUCAGUUAAACAACAUACAAUCCCAUUGAUGGGUUGCUUUUUCUCCUCCACGUACUCCAGAAUGAGUAAGAGUGGGAUUUUUGGUUUAUUCCUACUAAGAUGCAGAUUAAAAUGAUGUGGUACUUAGCAAGGCUUCUAUAAUUAUUACUUAAGUAAAAACGCACCUUUGAGUUGAAACCUCAGAGAUUGUUUAAAGCAUCUUCACAUGAUCUAGUUGGAGAAGCAUAGGAUGCUCCGCAGGUAUAGCAAUGAGACUAGACCCAGCCCUCCCGGCUCCCCCUCCAGCCAUAUUUUCCCCCGCAGUGCUGACCAUUCAAUCAGGUGCAAUGGCUGUCUGUGGCAUCAGUGCUGCUCCGAUCCUUGUCUAGAAAAUAUUCAGUCUGACCCCAUCUAGAUGAAAGUAGCAUUAGGGUGAACAAUCAGAAGUCAAAUCAGAAUGGUCAGUGGUGCUCCUCCUUUCAGGAUGGCCUAAGGCUGACUCUCCCAUGUGGGGUAGUUAUUUAACAUCUUUAUGAUUUGGCAUCACCAGUUAGAGCUGAAUUCUGAAGCAAUGGCCAGUGGACCGUAGCCAGCCCUAUAAUGUGUUUUGUUUAACUCAUUAUUUUAAAUGAAUGAAUGAUGAAUGAAUAUUAUACUAAAAUAUUCAGAGAUUUCCGUAAACAAUCUGUUUUUUCAAUUUCUUGUGAAAAGCAGAAGACCUGGCAACAACAGCCCACUUUUCUGCGUGGCACAUGGCAGCGAUUCACUGUAGCUGAUUAGAAUCUACACCAUUUAGAUAGGACAUUCCUUUCCCUAUGCAUGUGGCCUGUUUCACCCAAGGUAUCGGUCUGGCCCCAGUUUGGAUUUGUUUUUGAACACUGACUUAGAGCAUUAGGAAGAAUGAUACCUGAUCUUUACAUACUCUCCAACAUGUUUGUAUGGCUAUUUGCUAAAUUAUAACUAUGUCAAAGCAAAUGACUGAACUAUGGCUAAUUCAUGCAGCAAGUGUUGAACAAACAUCACGUGUGUUUAUGUUUCUAUUUAUGAUUGUGUAUAGUAUUUUAUUUCCAACAUAAAUCAAAGCCCGUCAGAAGGAUUUCUUUAUCGAUCAAUGUGAUUAAUGCAAGAAAUUAUAUAUGAACUACCUAGUUCCCUGGGGUGAAAUUCAACUACUCCUGCAAUGUGCAAAGAAUACGCAUGUUUCCUAAUGUUAAUAAUCAGAAAAGAAACCCUUGGGUUAAAUGAUUAACAAAGAAGAUAAUCCUUUAAAUAAAACGUGGUGUCUAUACGUGCAAAAUGUAUAAAAAUUAUACCCAGCCACUGGAAGAGCAUCUAGAUUCAAGGAAGAUCUAAUGUAAUGAAAAGUUUUCCUGAGAUAUAGAAAAGCAAAAGUAUGACUUGUUAAAUUAAGAAAUGGGUAUCGUAUUUUUAAGCCAUUUUUCUUUUAAUUAAAUAUAAUAGACCUUUAGGCAAAAUUAAUGUGACAUGUUUUCACAUGUUUAGCCACCUGGCAAAAUCUUAUCAUCUGUCAAGAGCCACAUCAAGCGGCUUCUGUGAAGCAUUUAAACAAAACUCCAUCUCUCCUUUGUAGCUCCCCACGAUGAUCUCAAUCUUUGGUUGUUUUAUUUAUUUUACUCAAGUGUGAUUAUUAGUUACAUGCCAGUUUUUCAGUUAAGACUGUGAGCUAUUUGGUAACAGAAAAGUCAGCCAUUUUCUUUUUUCUUUUUUUUCUCUCACACACGUAGCAUAAUGUCUGGCCAAUGAAAAAAAUUAAUAUUGUUGAAAGAAUAUGUGGAUGAAUAAAUGUGUGAAUGAAUAUUAAAUGAUUAAGUAUUAAGCAAGCUUUGGGAGGCAACUAUAUAGCUGUGAAAACAGCACUGGAUAUAUUCCGAAUAUUUAGAACUGAAUUUUGUGUCUUCUACCUACAGCUUUGAGUCAUUGAACAAGGAAUUUUGCAGAUGGACAGAUAUAUUUCCUAAUAUAUUUGCCCAGUAGGGCUAUUGUGAACAUCUAACGACAUAUUGCCUGUAAAAGUAACUUGAAAUUGUUAAGUGCUUGUCAACUCUAUGGGCUCAUGGAUAUGAAGAAUUCCAUCAUUUUCAGAAACUGUUAACAGUCAUUUGCAUCCUUUUUUUAACACUACUUUUGGCUAAAACUUGCAAAUAUGGCCUAUACAUUUUUGUUUUUAUAUUUGUCGGUUGGGGCUCUCUCAACAGAGACGUUCCAUAGUGUUCAUACUGUUUCCAUGGGUACCGUUUUAAAAAACCAAGAUGGUGGUGCCUUUUUAAAGUCAGUCAGACUUGAAGUUAGAUUUUUGUUGGGAGCAGGGGAUGAAAACAAAGAAUUCUGAAGAAAGAGAAAAGAAAGUUAUUGGGGCUUUCCAAUUAAAGAAUGCAAAAGAAAUCUAAGUAAAUUCUUACCAUUUAUAAUGGAAGAGGUGGAAAAUGGAUGUUGGCGUGAGAAUGAUUAUGCAAAAAAUCCUUAUUUACCCUUAUAAUGCUAGUGACCUUGGAGCCUCAAUAUUCUCAUGUGUAAAUGGGGAAUGAUGAUAAAUAGGCUUUCAGGUGUUGGGGAUUAAAUGAAAUAACCUGUCUAGAGCAUCUGGUACAGCACCUGGCACAUUCCUUUUGGAGGGAAUGUUCAGCCUCCCUGUGUAUGCUGACAACAGGGAACUAGAUUAGCAGUCCCUGGUUAGCCUAAGGGAAGAUUUAAUGCUGCUUUUCAUGUGGGACCCAGCCCCAGCCAUCUUCAAGGGAAGUUAUUGCAUCUGGCCCCAGAAGCAGAGCUGACAUUUUUGACAGGGCCUUAAGUGCAGCUCCCCCUGGGGUGCUGUAACUGAGACAAGACAGGGCAGGUGGCAGUAAUUGGCAUCACAUCCACUCAGGGAUUGGAUAUAGCAUGGAUUACCAUGGAAUUCUUUUUUUUUUUUUAAGAGAGACUUCUAUGAACCUUAGCCGGUUCUAAACCCUUUGAUAAUUAUUUCUAUCAUCAAUUACACAGCUGAAGGUUGAAAGGAAAGGCUGUAUUUUCUUAGGAAUAAGCAGAUUUACCCUGUUGUUCCCAAAAAGAACAGUAUGGUAUUAAUAGCUACCAGUUUUCCAUUACUAUUUUAUUGCUCAGACUUACAAAUCAGUGCUUGGACCCACAGGGUGCCACUUUACUUCAUUUCCUGAUACACUCCUGAAUGUAAACUCUAAAAUUCCAGGUUCCCUGGACACACCAUGUCCUUUCACAUCUUAAUGCCUUGCUUCUUGUACAUCCUUCAACUUAAAAAAAAAAAAUCUGUUCCCUUUCCCGCUUCUAUAACAUCAGGCAUCUUUAGGAGGCAGCAAAGACUAAACCUAGAACCUAGGGCCCAUUGUUUGUCCUUUCUAAUCCUCAGUUUUGUUAUGUGCAAAAUAGGAGCAAAACCUAUCAUGUGGGGCCAGAACAUAUAUGUAACAGCAACACAGAAUGUGGCAGAAGUAACUACAAUGUGAUUAGGUCUGCAAACCAGCCCUGCCCUGCACCUUGAAACUAACAGCGGCAUAUUGUUGCAUAGUUUAAAGAGUUGAUAGAUGAUAGACAGACAGAUAGAUAGAUAGAUAGAUAGAUAGAUAGAUAGAUAGAUAGGCAGACAAAUGAUAGAUUCCAAAAGCAAUACUUGAAAAUAUGGAAUUUGCUGAUGGUUUCAUGGGGAGACAGAGGAUAUGGUUACUUUGCUCAGCAUCAUUCACCUUCAACAGAGGGUACUAUUCAGCUCUGUCAAUCUCAAAGCCUAAUUAUACUCUGAGUGGAAAAGGAAGAGGAUAUAACAUUUAUAAACCAAAAGAUCAAAUGAAUAAUAACUAUUUUUAAUAGUAAUUAUUUUAACAGUCUGUCUCUGUAUUCAUUAGGAUUCUCCAGAAAAAUAUAUUUAUAAAUAUAUAUGUGUGUGUGUGUGUAUAGAUUGAUUAUAAGGUACUGAUUCAUGAGCUUACGGAAGCUUAGCCCCAUGAUCUGCCAUCUGCAAGAGCAGCAGGGCCAGUGAUACAAUUCAAAGGCCUGAGAGCCGGAGAGCUGAUGGUGUCGAUUCUAGCCUCGGUCUGAAGGCUUGAGAACCAGGAGCAUGAAAACAGGAGAAGAUUCUUGUCCCAGCACAGCAGUUAGGCAGAGAGUGAAUUCAGCCUUCCUCCAUCUUUUUGUUCUAUUCAGGCUCUCAACAGAUUGGAUAAAUAAGUGAUGCGUGGUUGGGUUAAUGCGGCCUGUCACACUGGGGAGGGCCAUCUGAUUUGCUCAGUCCACCAAUGCAAAUGCUAAUCUCCGUAGGAAACACUCUCACAGACACACCCAGAAAUAAUGUUCAACCAACUAUCUGGGUAUCUGUUGGCCCAGUCAGGUUGAUGCACAGAAUUAACCAUCACAGUCUCCAAAGGCUUAGACCAGGAAUUUGUGAAGAGUAAUGGACUCCUGUAGGUACCUCUACUCCUAAUUCUCAAAAUGAUGUCAACACGAUUUCUUCUCACUCUAGGAGAUAUGAAACAGGGCUUCUUUAAAUGAUUGCCACUUUUCACCUCCUGUUAGGAAUUGUUGAUUUAACAAAUAUCUAUUAAGUACCUACUCUCUGUCAGGUAAUAGUAAGCAAAGAAGAAAAGAAGAUGAGGUAGAAGUAAGUCCCUGCUCUCAGAUAGAUGACACUUUAAUGUAGGGAAACAAAUUCACACCAAUUAAGGUAUUGUCAGUUAAUGUACUGUUAACCAUGAAAGAUGUGUACAUGGAACUAUGAAAAAAUAACAGGAAGAUCUAUUUUAUAUUAGAGUGGCAGCAUAGAAAAAGCCUCUGAGAAUGACUGUAUUUCUUAGAAACAAAGAACUGACUUUCUAGUAGGGCAACAUGGGCUCUUUGCUUCAUUUCUCCUUUCCUCCCUUCCUCUCUCUCUUCUCCUUUCUUUUUUUUUUUUUUUUCUUUUCUUUUUGGUUAUAAAAGAGAAAACAUGAAAAUGGCCCAUUUCAAAAAAUUCCUAGACAACAAGGCUUUACCUACUACUUCCCAACAGCAGGUCCAAAAUAAUAAAGUAAUAGUCCUAGUGAAAUUGGGCUGGGCUCAUCCAUCCUCAGAGAGUAGGGAAUGAAUAUUCAGAUCUGGAAGCUACAAUAGAUUUGGUUGUUGUCAAGAAGAUAGAGAAGCUGAAGAAUAUAUAUUUAAUAAUAAUCCCUAGUAGAUAAGCAGAGCCAUUCUAAAUUAUUAAUAAUAAUAAUAAUUGUAGUAAUAAGCAUAAUGAUGAUAGGCUAUUAACCAUGUGCCAGUUCCUGUUUGAGGCACAUCCUGUGCAAAUGUCAUUUAAUGCUGGUAACAGUCUGUUUUAUUCACAUAAAUAUCCAAACGGCUUUGUCUAAAGAGCAAUACAAAACUCUGAAUUGGUUCUGGUUGGUAAAACUCUCAGGGAAGCUAAGUGAGAGGAGGACAUGGCAGGGAGAUCAUCAGUGCAUGGGGGCUGGUGUCAUGGUUCCAGGUGAGGACAAAGGAAGGAGGAUUCAGCCAUCUCCAGGUGUAAAAGUCGGCAAGAUGUCAAAGAGUAUUCUUAGUUCCAGCACUAAUUUCAAUUUAUGUGUUUAAUCUUUCAUCCAACAAAAACCUAUUUUGAAAUCAAACAUAUGUUAAUAAUGAUAUAUCAAUAAGUAUUACAAUUAACCUUUGCAGCCCUAUUAUAUUACCAUGAACAGAGAUUCUGGGACCCAGAGAGAAAUAUCUAGUCUGUGGUCAUCUAGUGCUGCCCACAUGGACCCAAUAUUCGGAAAGAGUAGCCCAUAGGCCAUUUUGAUCUAACCCAAAUCUUUUGUUUUCCAUACAGGAAAAGUGGAAAAGUGAGGCCAUGCAAAGGGAAUAACUUGCUCAAGGUCACAUAGUAUAAGCUAGGGUCAAAGCCACAAUCCAUACCAAGCUGUUGGACUCCUGGGCUCUACCGCAUUUUCAAUGCAUUAAGCUGCCCUGUGUCAGAGAUCAGAUUGACCCUUGGGCCAGGUGCCCCUUCAAAGCUUGAAAUUGGGUUAAAUCUCCCACUGAUCACAACUCAUGAAAGACAUCUAGAAAAUGGUCUCACAGUGUAACAAAGCUCAGCAAAGGAGUAUGCGUGACUCACUGCAAAUCAUCUCCACUUUCUGAAGAGCAAGUCAGAGCCUAGGCUUUUCCCAUAAAAGGGGAGACAGCAUUUUUUCCGUGUGCAAGAAACUGUGAUAAUUAAAUCAGGAUCAAGCUGCUUUUCUCCCUCACAUGUGAACUUUCACAUCAAGCAACUCUCAUCGUUGCCCACAAAAAGAAAAUAAAGCUAGAUUUACCUUAUUUCUAUGAAGCAUGGGCUAGAUGAAUUGUGCACUUCCUAUCCAUUUUUUUAAAGGCUAUUUUAAAAAGGCAAAAGGAUUACCCCCAGAGUAUUAAGAUAGUUUCUCACAAAUACAAGCAAACAGUUAAAAGUGUCAACAAGCAGUGUGUAAAACAGAGUGCUCAAGCAGCCAUCUGAAUAAACUGGGUUUUAAUCCUGAUCUACGUGUAGCCUUGGGAAAGAAACAUCGCCCCUCUAGGCUUUGGUUUCUUCCUCCGAAAAAGAUGAGCUCUAAUGUCUUUGUUUCUCUACCUUUCCACAAGUUUUUAAUUAAGAAUAUGUGUAAAGUAAGUGAGGUUAUUCCAAGGCACAGGCGCACACGUCAUCUCUGGACUGGAAAGUCAGGGUUCAUAGCAAGAGAUUAUCGUCAACAAGUCCACAAGGGUCUUCAUAACCCAGUCAAGAGUCAAAGGAUCAUUGAGGGGAAAUUCCAUUCUCAUUCCCAGGCUGUUUUCCUAUGAAUCCUCAUCCAAUUUAAGCACAUAAAAAGGGCUUUUUCAUAUGUUAAAAUGUGCAUAUCCCAAGUUUAACAUUUCCCACCAAAAUAGAACACAUUUGUACCUCCAUCAGCUAUUCACAAGAGGAUGUUUAAAAUCCACACAUUUAUGAAUUAAAAGUACAAAGUACAAUUUGUAUCAAUUUUAAAGAGAAAAAAGGGGGGGUGGUUGUGAGUAGUCUAAAUGAAACAUCAUGUCAAAAAUAGAAUACAUAACCUGGCAACAAGAAAAAUGUUCCUAGCACUUGGUGAAAAUUAAGUUCAAGAUGGUGUGUGUUCAAGGAAUAAAAAUGACUGUAUCUAUGGAAUUUUGAAUUUUAAAAAGAGGCUUUUCAUAGGCUUCAUCUCAUUUGUAAGCACUUCAAUUUUUAAAUUAACAUAGCAUAAAAUUAACUUUUUAUGUGAAUACAGGUCUAUACAUUUUCUUUAACAUCUUUGAGUAUAAUUGCUUUACAAUGGUGUGUUAGUUUCUGCUGUAUAACAAAGUGAAUCAGCUAUACAUAAACAUAUAUCCCCAUAUCUCCUCCCUCUUGCGUCUCCCUCCCACCCUCCCUAUCCCACCCCUCUAGGUGGUCACAAAGCACCGAGCUGAUCUCCCUGUGCUAUGUGGCUGCUUCUCACUAGCUAUAUAUGUUACAUUUGGUAGUGUAUAUCAUCCCAUAGGUUUUGGAUCGUCGUGUUUUCAUUGUCAUUUUUUCUAGGUAUUUUUUGAUUUCCUCUUUGAUUUCUUCAGUGAUCUCUUGGUUAUUUAGUAGUGUAUUGUUUAGCCUCCAUGUGUUUGUAUUUUUUACAGUUUUUUUUUCCUGUAAGUGAUAUCUAGUCUUAUAGCGUUGUGGUCAGAAAAGGUACCUGAUAUGAUUUCAAUUUUCUUAAAUUUACCAAGGCUUGUUUUGUGACCCAAGGUAUGA